UUAAUUCUAUUAAACCUUUUUAUCGUUCUAUCUAAUUAAAACUGCGAUGUAUUUACUAUCGAUUUCUAAGUAUCGAUAGUAAGUCUGGGUGGCGUGGGUGCAGACAACAGAAUUUGUUUAUUUACGUUUUUUAAACGAUGACGUAUUUAGACGAAAGAGCUGUGCAGAAGCUCUGUAGGCAUUAGUUACGAAUAAAACUUUGGUUGGGCUUAUUGGCCCCCGGGGGCCAAUAGCCAAAAGUGCUAUUGGCCCCCGGAUUCCGGGGGAAAGCUAUUUGCCCCGGCCGCUAGGGGGCCUACGGGGAAGGGCCGCGCCUACCAGCAGGCUUUUGACAAUUGACACCAACAUGGUCUCCACGUAAGUACGGGCAUGUCCGUACCAAAAAACCGUCGCAUUUCUAGCCUUCUCAUUGGCUCACAGGCUUCAGAGGGACCAGCCAGUAUACAGUUGCUUUUUAGUAUCAUUCCUGUUUAUUCAAGUGCAACUGUCAGGUGUCAAAAUACUAGCAAUUUAUUAUAAUUACAAUUCAAAUUCAAAUUCUCACAUUUCACGUCUAGAUGAAAAGCAUCACCUAGAUGACGCUCGUCAGGGUGUUGUGUAUGGGGAGAUUUUGCAGCCCUUGUUUACAUUUUUUAAACGAUGACGUCUUUCGACGAAAGAGUUGCAGAAGCUCUGCAGGCAUUAGUUACGCCUGCAACUUUUGAAGGGAUUGUUACGCAGCUUGAAGAAAACAACAAGAGAAGCAACGUACAACAACUUUAAUCGAUCAACGAGUAAGAAUCAAUAAACCAAGGGAAAUCUAGUGCUUUACGAGUCAACCUGAGCUGGCCUGAGGAGGGAGAGUGGAUCCUAUCAAGAAUAAGGCUCAAGAGAAGUAUCUUAAUAUGCUUAUAGACCUUGGAACGGAAGACCCAUAAUCCUAAGAAGUCAGACGGUGGAAAUCCUUGCAAUCAGACUAAGCGAUUAUAUAGUCUACAUGACAAGCAUGAGGCCAAUUCUCGUGCAGUGUCAAAGGGUGCUUUAUGAUGGAGGUGCUGAAAUCCCGGGUAGCUAAAUUCAGUGAUAGCAGCAAAGCGCGCUUGGUUAAAAAUCAUCCAAAAGAAGGCGCGUAUCGACAAGAUCAUUGGAUCUUCUCAAUGAGAAGGAUGUUAUCGUGACGCAACCAGAUUUAGAUAGUGGUGAAUUCCCGUGACACACACUUGGUGCAGUUCCUUUGAUCUAGUACUAUGCGGUCAUUGACGCACAGAUGUUAAGGCUGCGAUAUAAGGAAGCAAUUCUUCAAAACCAGAACAAGAUCGCCAUAUUUCAUUGCUUCUCCGCCCGCUGAAUCUCCGUUCUCACAAGUGACGCUUUCACGGAUGGGUUUACGGAAAAGGAAGAAGAAAUAUUGGACGAAUUGGGGUCCGGUGUAGAGGAGUUUGAAGACGAAGGAGACUUUGGAUAUGCCACUUGAAGCGCCAUUUAGAAGAUUGCGAUUCGCAUUCGGACGCCUUAGCCUUAGAUGAGCUCACGUCUACUCCAUCAACAAAUUACUAUGAUUUUCUUAUGAAAGUCUGUAAUGCAUGAACCAAUUUAUUCAAUACAAAUAUUAAACUGAA